UGCAAAACCAUUGUUAAAAAAUAAUGGUAUGAAUGAGUCUUUUUCUUUAACAAUAAUGACAUAAAUGAGUCAAACUUUUAACUAAUGGCAUAAAUGAGCCUAUUCUGAAAGUUUAAUGGCAUAUUUGAGCAUUUUCCCUUCUCUCUUUUUCUAUUUUGAUAUGUUUACUUGAGCUGAGGGUCUAUCGAAAACAAAUUUCUGCCCUUCACAAGGUAGGGGUAGAGAGGUUGCUUAUUCACCACCCUCCUAGACCCUAGUUGUGGCAUUUCACUUGGUUUGUUGUUGUUUUACCACAUUUUCAAAAUUUUGUAAAUCAAUUCAAGCAUAAGAUAUUCGAUGUCAUUUUAAUAUUCUAGUAAUUUUUUUCGACAAUCAAAAUAUUCUUGUAACUUCCAUCUCAGAAAAGAAAUAUUCCCACAAACUUUCAGACAUUCAAAAUAUUUUGGAGAUCUCAUAGCAGUUCAUUCUUAUUUCAUCAGCUUAUAAAAUAUUGUAGUUUGAACCUCUUAGCCUAACUAUUUAAAAUAAGAGUUAACCCAUAAGCUUAGUUGCUCAGACCCUUCACAUUUGGUGUUGCACUCAUGUCAACACAACAUGGGUGUGGUGUGAGUGUGAGAUAUGUGUCCGAUUUGGUCAACCAAUUUUGGGUACUUUGACCAAAAUUCAUGGGAAAGUCUGGACCAUUCUAAUGAUUUCUGUUACUGUAAUCAAUACAAAAGCUAAAGUGAGAUUAAAGAAAAUAGAAUACCUUUUAUAUAGAAAUUUAUGUCACUCCUUUCCCUUUAAUUUCCUUCCAAGAAUCUCCAUAUAAUAUCUCAUAAUUUAAGUUUGAUAACUCUAUUUUUAUAUAUUUUGAUUAUUUUAGGCGAAUCCCCGCACCCACUAUCAGUGGUGUUGAAAAAACCCAUUAGGAAUAAUUCAAUACAACAAUAACAGAUCCAAUGAAAUUCUACUAAGUAUUGAUGGAAAUCCCAUAAGGAUAAAUACUAAAAUAUUGAUAAUUAUUCUGACAAUAAUAGCUUCCAAUAUAAGUACACCUAUUGUGUACAACUAGAAGACACACGAAAGAUAAAACUCUAAGUACACUUUUUUUUCUCUCACAAUAGCAUCUAGGGUUGCUACAACACAUCGUGACAACCAUUACUAGUUAGUGUCAAGGUUCGUUCAAGUUUUUCGCUUCCACAGUUCUGCUAUACAUAGAACAUGUCAUUGCUCUGUUGGCAGGUUGAGGGCCUUGUAGCCAAGUGCAACUCAGAUAUUGGUUUUGCAGCUUCAAGGCAUUUGUUCUCCAACUCAAGAUGCCUCAGGACAUGUUCUAAAGUUGUUAUUCAUCCAUUGUGGGUCAAAUGCAUUUUCUAAUUUUCAUAUGGUCUCAUGAACUAGAAAAGACAUAUGAUUGUUUGGAUCUAUUGUUCAUCAGUCAGCAUGACCAGCAUUUUUCCACUCCAUGAUCAUAUUUGUUAUUGCUUCAAAUGUGUUUUCAUUCAAUGUUCUAGCCAUUUCUUAUGUGAAUCUAAGUUAAUCGUUAAGACUA